rnacentral:rRNA from 1 species
UACGUAGGGGGCAAGCGUUAUCCGGAUUUAUUGGGCGUAAAGGGAACGCAGGCGGUCUUUUAAGUCUGAUGUGAAAGCCUUCGGCUUAACCGGAGUAGUGCAUUGGAAACUGGGAGACUUGAGUGCAGAAGAGGAGAGUGGAACUCCAUGUGUAGCGGUGAAAUGCGUAGAUAUAUGGAAGAACACCAGUGGCGAAAGCGGCUCUCUGGUCUGUAACUGACGCUGAGGUUCGAAAGCGUGGGCAGCAAACAGG